AUCGUCUUCAACCUCAGUAACCUAAGUACUGGAAGCCAUGGCUGCACCUUUCCCCUUCUCCAUAGGACAUUCUAGACACAGAAACGCCUAUCUUUAAACACGGAAGUUACUCCUCUUCCAUCCACGGUUCAAUUCAGGGGAUUAACAUCUGUUUUAGUGCACAGUAAAACCACCAAUUGUGGCCAUCAAGACCAUUACUGUUUUAGCUGACUCCGUUCGUCUCCCGUCGCUCUACUCCAUCUCGCUGUGUAUAAAGCUACCCCGACCUUCCCAUCGCAUAUCACACCCCUCCACCACUCCACGCCCCCAGGCUGCCCCUGCGGAGGGCAAUUUUCGUCGCCGGAGUGCGACGGCCACCGCGACGCCCUUGUCGAUUCCUCCGACCGGAGGUUACCUACGAGAAGCACCCGGCAUUUUCGUCCGUCCGUUCCCGGCAAUCUUUCCAUCAAGUCCGGCCGAUUUCACGAAGAGUGACGGGAUAAUUUUUAUCAAGGAAGUAAUAUUGAUAAUUAUGUUGACAAGAUAAUUAUUCUUCAUCAACGAAAGGCAAGUUACACAUGAUCUUUGUCCUACUAUUUUUGAUAUGCAUGUUUUACAAAUAUUUUCGUAGAAAUGCAUGUGUAGGAAAUUAUACGAGUACUUUGUUAUCUCUAAAGAGCUCUAAGCUCCCAGUGUUCUGAGAGCCUGUGGUUGCUCCACGGUGAUCGCUACUUGUGUCCCUACUGUCAGCGUGUUGUUGCGUUUUAUUAUCUUAACAAAAACGUGUGCGCUGGUGUGUUCAUGAC